GACGAACGCUGGCGGCGUGCUUAACACAUGCAAGUCGAACGGAAAGGCCCUGCUUUUUUGUGGUGCUCGAGUGGCGAACGGGUGAGUAACACGUGAGUAACCUGCCCUUGACUUUGGGAUAACUUCAGGAAACUGGGGCUAAUACCGGAUAGGAGCUCCUGCUGCAUGGUGGGGGUUGGAAAGUUUCGGCGGUUGGGGAUGGACUCGCGGCUUAUCAGCUUGUUGGUGGGGUAGUGGCUUACCAAGGCUUUGACGGGUAGCCGGCCUGAGAGGGUGACCGGCCACAUUGGGACUGAGAUACGGCCCAGACUCCUACGGGAGGCAGCAGUGGGGAAUAUUGCACAAUGGGCGGAAGCCUGAUGCAGCAACGCCGCGUGCGGGAUGAAGGCCUUCGGGUUGUAAACCGCUUUCGCCUGUGACGAAGCGUGAGUGACGGUAAUGGGUAAAGAAGCACCGGCUAACUACGUG
rnacentral:rRNA from 1 species